CCCCUCUGAGGAUCACACCUGUAGAGUGUCCAGUCCUCUACCAGUCUCGACUACAGGAGGGAGAGUCAAGCACAGACCUACCCAUUCCAUUCAUAGCUUGGUCAGUAGCUAGCGGGUGGAAGACAAUCUGCUACAAGU